AUUAGCUAAGAUCUUGAAAUCCAAAGAAUUUGGCGGUAUCUUAUUCCAUCCAGAGGAGCCUGUCUCGUAAUUGAUAGUACACGAUUGACUUUACUUGGUUUAUUUGUUUGUAUAUCUCCGUUAUCAGAAGAUCUUUUUAGGGUUAUAAUUUUCUUAAUCUAUAAUUAUAAAUUAUUUCAGGUCAAGGUGCAGCUUAUAAUCAAGGGAAGAUGGGUUACAAUAAAUUUUUGUUUAUUAUGGAUUUAAUAGUGAAGUCUAUUAAUGAAGGUGGAUUUGGUAGUAAUUUAAUUUAUUUAAUUUAAUUGAUAUUGGCUCUGAGGUGUGUACACAU
rnacentral:rRNA from 1 species